UUCUCUCCUUAAAAUUUUAUGAAAUCCAAAAAUUGAUUGUUGGGGAAGAUUUCGCACCAGUUUUAUUGUUAAGAUAUCUAAUAGCAGCUUUAAAAGAUCUAUACCAUUUCUCAAUGAUGCCUUUGAAUUUAGAAUGAUAAGCUGCUAUGCGUAUAUUUUUUCUUCUGAUAUUUCGACAAGAAAUUCGAAAUGCUAUGAUUUAAAUUAAGCGCCUCUAUCAGUUGUGAUUAACGUCCGAGCUUUAAAUUUUGCGGUUCAGGUAUUAAAAAAUGCAUGCAUUAUUGUGUCCGCUGAUAGUGAUGAUCUUGCUAAGAUGGUUUAUUAUGAUUAAAUAGUACAUAUUUGUUAUCUUUAGAUGAAUAAAAUGGAUCAAUAACAUUAAUGUGUAUAUGUUGAAAAUGAAUACUUGGAAUAUGUCAAUAUGUAUUAGAACUUUAUGAUUACAUUUAUUGAUCUUUAGUUUCUAUUUGGCCAUAUAAAAUUGCAAUUGAUCAUCUUCCGAUGUGCACAUUCUCUGAGAUGUUGACAAGAAAUGUAAAAGUUGAAUGGAAGAUGAUAUUUGCAGAAUGUUCAUGAGUUCAAUGUCGUUCGUGAGUUUUUCUGAAACUUAAAUUUCUGAAUUGUUACAAUCACGGCAUAUUAUUGCCUCUACUUUUGAAAGAGUCUAUUAUAAUAUUAUCAUGGUCUGCAAUGUACUAUAUACGACUUGUAACUGGCUGUUAAAAUCAAACUAUCAGAAUAACCUUGGCCAUACCUUCGAAGAUUUUUGUAAAAAUGCGUUCAUAUAACGGUCGUAAAUAUUGUAUUUAAUUUAAUUAGAGUUGAUGAAAAAAUCAUAAUGAUUGCCUGCCUGAGACAUUAAUCUGUUCGAGUGUGCAAUAAUGGAUACAUUCCGAUGCAUUCUUUUAAGCGGAUUGCAAGAAAAGAUCACUUUUGUCAAUUGCUUCUUGCAGGAUUCGAAAGUUGUCUCAGCAUCUGAGAUCCAAAUGAUCGACCUAUUAUCGUCUUCUUGACAUCCACUAAAAAGCGUUUAACGACAUUUGCGCUUAGACUGUUUUGGGAAUGAAACAUCUGCGAAAAUUAUCAUACCGAGGAAUCUACGAGUUCUUUAAUAGAUCUCUCAAAGUAUUUAAUUGCUUCAACUAUGUUUCCAUAGAUACGGUUUAAUCUGAAAUAUUUUAAAAAAGCUUAAUUUUCUUUGAAAAAAAUCUUGUAAAAAUGAUAUUUUCCUGACAAUAGUUUCAUGCAUAAAAAAAAGCUUUUUCAAAAAUUCGAGAAAAGUAUGUCGCUUAUAGCUUCAUCUUUAAAAUGAGACCUUGUUCAUCACAUUCUGACUCAACAGCCUAGAUUCGCUGUUGGCAUAAACGUUGUUGUCAUCUUUCAUGAAAAAAAAAUUCCGUAUAAUAACGCCCGUUGAAUUUUGCGUCAAAAAAGAAGCUGUUACCAUCACUACUAAUUUAUAUAUAAAUGCUUGAGUAAAUUCUGUUUUUUGUAAAGUAGACAAGUACUUCCUGUUUUGUGUGCAUAAACUUACGCUUAUAUUUUUGAUCCAUUUUAAACGCAAGUGAAAGCGUUCGAUACAUGGAGCACCACGGUAUUUAAUGAGCUUUCGCUGAAUUAUUCUAUUAUUUUCUUAGAAAUAAUAUAUAAUUCUGAAUAACUGUAUAACUAUUUAAAUAGUAUCCAUAUAAUAUAUAUAGAGUACACUAAAUUAAUAUUUAGACAGUACAUUCGCUGUAGACAGUAUAUUAGUAUAUUUUCUUACCUAGCUCGUAACAAUGCGCUAAAUACAAAAUAAAUUUGACUGAUUUUGAUUGUUAUCGAACCAGUUUCGUUUUGCGGAAUCGGUUGUCUGUCGGUUCUUCUUUCUUGGGGCAGGAUAGUCGUUGCAUAAUAACUAUAAAGACUUAAGAAUUCCAUUACAAUUGUGCGUGGAACGUGCGGAGAUCCAUUGUUCGGUACAGGUAAAAUAGGAAGAACAUUCAAUGUAAACUGUCAGUGGACACAGACGUAUGUGUUCGCGGGCACUCUACUGUGGAUUAAGUCCUACUGUAGACUCCGUUUUAAUGUUCGAAAUUUCGAAAAGACUACCGCCGUAGUCGAUAGAGAUGACUUAAAACUUCCGAUGUGGGAUGGUGGAGUCCAUAAGUCGAGUUUCAUCACUCUGCUGAUGAUAACGCGGCUGUUAGUCGAGAAUCCUGAAUCUCCAAAGUUGCAUGUUAUCCCAGCUUUUAAAGUAGAGUCCGUGGAUCUCCAUAGGCAGCAACAUCCUCAACUUCAUGGUGAGAAUCUGGUUCAGUAUUACUUGCAAUAUAUUGAAAUCUAAAUCUAGAUAUAUAACACAAGUACUACCGGAUAAAUGGCUGCAUAUUUCAAUGCGUUUCUAAAAUUUUUUCUUUCUCUUUCUAACUAAACUUAAAAAGUACUUAUAUAUACAUUACUAGUUACGCUUCUGUAGAUAAGUUGAUUAGAUAGAAUUAUAUUAGAAUUAGAAUUAGAUAGAAUUAGAUUAGUAAAAUAAUUUCUUAGGGAAACACUUACACUUACUUGAAACACAUUUUCAAAUUUUUUUUAUUAUUCUUAUUCAUUAAUGAGAUAUAUACAUAUUAUUAUAACU